UACGUAGGGUGCAGGCGUUAAUCGGAAUUACUGGGCGUAAAGCGUGCGCAGGCGGCUUCCCAAGUCAGAUGUGAAAUCCCCGGGCUUAACCUGGGAACUGCGUUUGAAACUGGGAGGCUAGAGUGCGGCAGAGGGGGGUGGAAUUCCACGUGUAGCAGUGAAAUGCGUAGAUAUGUGGAGGAACACCGAUGGCGAAGGCAGCCCCCUGGGCCUGCACUGACGCUCAUGCACGAAAGCGUGGGGAGCAAACAGGAUUAGAAACCCCUGUAGUCC
rnacentral:rRNA from 1 species